rnacentral:lncRNA from 13 species
UGAGCCCAGGUGUCCCCAGUUGUGCCCCAGGUGAGCUGAGGUGUGCCCAGGUGAGCCCAGGUGUGCCCCAGGUGAACCCCAGGUGUGCUCAGGUGAGCUCAGGUGCACUGUCCCAGUCCCAUUGUCCAGGGGGAACAAAUCCAGGCCCUGGGAAGGCCCCACCCCAUCCAGGUGUGCACCUGGAGCACCCCAAAAUCCAGGUGAGUCCAGCCUCAGGUCCCCCAGUCCUGACUGGGAGGGGCUCCGCAGCUCCAGGUGAGGGCUCAGGUGAGGCAUUGCAGUUCUGGGGUCACACCUGGCCACAGGUGCACCCUGGGGGUCCCCGGUCCUUUUCCAAUGCUGGUGACAUCACAGCUCAGGUGUGGCUGUGCUGGGACCCCUCACCUGCAGCUCAGGUGCUGCCGAUUUUGGGGUCCACACCUGUCCUGGAGCCCCUCACCUGCGGCUCAGGUGUCGCAGUUCAGGUGUUGCUGCUGCAGCUUUUUGGAGCCCACACCUGGCCUGGGUGCAGAUCCAGGGUGCCCUCACCUGCGGCUCAGGUGCUUCAGGUGUUGCUGCUGCAGCUUUUUGGGGUCCAAUGCACAUUUUUGGGGUCCGCACCUGUCCGGGGUCACAGAUCUGGGGUUCCCACACCUGCGGCUCAGGUGUCACAGUUCAGGUGUUGCUGCUGCAGCUUUUUGGGGUCCACAGCACAUUUUAGGGGUCCAUAGCACAUUUUUAGGGCCCACACCUGUCCGAGGUCACAAAGUCCCUUCAUCUCAGGCUCAGGUGUCGCAGUUCGGGCGUUGCCGCUGCAGCUUUUUGGGGUCCACGGGAGAUCUUUGGGGCGCACACCUGGCUGAUACUGGGGGUCCUCUCACCUGCGCCUUCAUCCACGGGGCUCAGGUGCUUCAGGUGGUGCUGCUGCAGCUUUUUGGGGUCCAAUGCACAUUUCUGGGGUCCGCACCUACCCGGGGUCACAGGUACUGAGUCCCCUCACCUGUGGCUCAGGUGUCGCAGUUCAGGUGUUGCUGCUGCAGCUUUUUGGGGUCCAAUGCACAUUUUUAGGGUUCACACCUGUACGAGGUCACAGGUACAAAGUCCCCCCACCUCAGGCUCAGGUGUCGCAGUUCGAGCGUUGCCGCUGCAGCUUUUUGCGGUCCACAGGAGAUUUCUGGGGCGCACACCUGGCUGAUACUGGGGGUCCUCUCACCUGGGCCUUCAUCCCUGGGGCUCAGGUGCUUCAGGUGGUGCUGCUGCAGCUUUUUGGGGUCCAAUGCACAUUUUUGGGGUCCGCACCUGUCCGGGGUCACAGAUCUGGGGUUCCCACACCUGCGGCUCAGGUGUCACAGUUCAGGUGUUGCUGCUGCAGCUUUUUGGGGUCCACAGCACAUUUUAGGGGUCCAUAGCACAUUUUUAGGGCCCACACCUGUCCGAGGUCACAAAGUCCCUUCAUCUCAGGCUCAGGUGUCGCAGUUCGGGCGUUGCCGCUGCAGCUUUUUGGGGUCCACGGGAGAUCUUUGGGGCGCACACCUGGCUGAUACUGGGGGUCCUCUCACCUGCGCCUUCAUCCACGGGGCUCAGGUGCUUCAGGUGGUGCUGCUGCAGCUUUUUGGGGUCCAAUGCACAUUUCUGGGGUCCGCACCUACCCGGGGUCACAGGUACUGAGUCCCCUCACCUGUGGCUCAGGUGUCGCAGUUCAGGUGUUGCUGCUGCAGCUUUUUGGGGUCCAAUGCACAUUUUUAGGGUUCACACCUGUACGAGGUCACAGGUACAAAGUCCCCCCACCUCAGGCUCAGGUGUCGCAGUUCGAGCGUUGCCGCUGCAGCUUUUUGCGGUCCACAGGAGAUUUCUGGGGCGCACACCUGGCUGAUACUGGGGGUCCUCUCACCUGGGCCUUCAUCCCUGGGGCUCAGGUGCUUCAGGUGGUGCUGCUGCAGCUUUUUGGGGUCCAAUGCACAUUUUUGGGGUCCGCACCUGUCCGGGGUCACAGAUCUGGGGUUCCCACACCUGCGGCUCAGGUGUCACAGUUCAGGUGUUGCUGCUGCAGCUUUUUGGGGUCCACAGCACAUUUUAGGGGUCCAUAGCACAUUUUUAGGGCCCACACCUGUCCGAGGUCACAAAGUCCCUUCAUCUCAGGCUCAGGUGUCGCAGUUCGGGCGUUGCCGCUGCAGCUUUUUGGGGUCCACGGGAGAUCUUUGGGGCGCACACCUGGCUGAUACUGGGGGUCCUCUCACCUGCGCCUUCAUCCACGGGGCUCAGGUGCUUCAGGUGGUGCUGCUGCAGCUUUUUGGGGUCCAAUGCACAUUUCUGGGGUCCGCACCUACCCGGGGUC